UACGUAGGGGGCUAGCGUUGUCCGGAAUCAUUGGGCGUAAAGCGCGUGUAGGCGGCCCGGUAAGUCCGCUGUGAAAGUCGGGGGCUCAACCCUCGGAUGCCGGUGGAUACUGUCGGGCUCGAGUACGGAAGAGGCGAGUGGAAUUCCUGGUGUAGCGGUGGAAUGCGCAGAUAUCAGGAGGAACACCGGUGGCGAAGGCGGGUCUCUGGGCCGAUACUGACGCUGGAGGAGCGGAA
rnacentral:rRNA from 1 species